CAGCAGCCGCGGUAAUACGAAGGGGGCUAGCGUUGUUCGGAAUUACUGGGCGUAAAGCGCACGUAGGCGGACAUUUAAGUCAGGGGUGAAAUCCCGGGGCUCAACCCCGGAACUGCCUUUGAUACUGGGUGUCUAGAGUAUGGAAGAGGUGAGUGGAAUUCCGAGUGUAGAGGUGAAAUUCGUAGAUAUUCGGAGGAACACCAGUGGCGAAGGCGGCUCACUGGUCCAUUACUGACGCUGAGGUGCGAAAGCGUGGGGAGCAAACAGGAUUAGAGACCCCAGUAGUCCCUGUCUCUUAUAC
rnacentral:rRNA from 1 species